AGUGGCGGACGGGUGAGUAACGCGUGAGAAUCUGCCUUGGGGUCGGGGACAACCACUGGAAACGGUGGCUAAUACCGGAUAAGCCGAUUGGUGAAAGAUUUAUUGCCCGAAGAGGAGCUCGCGUCUGAUUAGCUAGUUGGUGAGGUAAGAGCUCACCAAGGCAGCGAUCAGUAGCUGGUCUGAGAGGACGAUCAGCCACACUGGGACUGAGACACGGCCCAGACUCCUACGGGAGGCAGCAGUGGGGAAUUUUCCGCAAUGGGCGAAAGCCUGACGGAGCAAGACCGCGUGAGGGAGGAAGGCUCUUGGGUUGUAAACCUCUUUUCUCAGGGAAGAAGCUCUGACGGUACCUGAGGAAUCAGCCUCGGCUAACUCCGUGCCAGCAGCCGCGGUAAUACGGAGGAGGCAAGCGUUAUCCGGAAUUAUUGGGCGUAAAGCGUCCGCAGGUGGCGAUUCAAGUCUGCUGUCAAAGCACGGGGCUUAACUCCGUUGAGGCAGUGGAAACUGAAUAGCUAGAGUGCCGUAGGGGUAGAGGGAAUUCCCGGUGUAGCGGUGAAAUGCGUAGAGAUCGGGAAGAACAUCGGUGGCGAAAGCGCUCUACUGGACGGCAACUGACACUCAGGGACGAAAGCUAGGGGAGCGAAUGGGAUUAGAUACCCC
rnacentral:rRNA from 1 species